rnacentral:rRNA from 1 species
UACUCCUACGGGAGGCAGCAGUAGGGAAUCUUCCACAAUGGGCGCAAGUCUGAUGGAGCAACGCCGCGUGAGUGAAGAAGGGUUUCGGCUCGUAAAGCUCUGUUGUUAAAGAAGAACGAGUGUGAGAGUAACUGUCCAUACAGUGACGUAUCAACCAGAAU